rnacentral:rRNA from 1 species
UACAGAGGGGGCAAGCGUUGUUCGGAAUUACUGGGCGUAAAGGGCGCGUAGGCGGCCUGCUAAGUCGAACGUGAAAUCCCUGGGCUCAACCCAGGAACUGCGUCCGAUACUGGUUGGCUUGAAUUCGGGAGAGGGAUGCGGAAUUCCAGGUGUAGCGGUGAAAUGCGUAGAUAUCUGGAGGAACACCGGUGGCGAAGGCGGCAUCCUGGACCGGCAUUGACGCUGAGGCGCGAAAGCCAGGGGAGCAAACGGG